rnacentral:lncRNA from 1 species
CCUGAUAAAAUCAUGAUGCAGACUGAUACGUGCGCCUAUCUGGCAACUUGAUUCCCAUCGGUCCAGGCAAGGCCAUGGAUCGGAUGCACUGCUUGAUGCAACGCAUUCAGUCCAGUCCUGAGUAGUUUUCCUUUUCCCAACUCCAUCCUUUUGAUAAAGGUUACCUGAAAUGAUUAAGAAGGAAAGUUACACCAUGAGAAAUCUAGACAAAUCUAGAAUGUAGGACAUUUUGUAAGACAACGGCUUAGCCCCUUCCCAGGUUAAUAAUGUGGAGAGACAAAAGGACAGGGGGAGUAUUGUAAAUUAAGAGACUACUGAGCUAUCAGGCGAAUGCAAUGUAUAUACUUUGGAUCUUGAAGAAAUAAAAUCUUCUACCUAAUGAAGAUUUUUAGAACUGGGGAAAUCUGAGUAUGGAAUGGAUAUCAGAAAAUAUUGUAGAGUUAUUAUUUUUCUUCUUUUUUUUUUUGAGACGGAGUCUCGCUCUUGUUGCUCAGGCUGAAGUGCAAUGGCACAAUCUCGGCGCACUUCAACCUCUGCCUCCUGGGUUCAAGCGAUUCUCCUGCCUCAGCCUCCAGAGUAGCUGGGAUUACAGGUGCCUGCCACCAGGCCCAGCUAAUUUUUUUUUUUAUUUUUAGUAGAGACGGGGUUUCACUAUGUUGGCCAGGCUGGUCUCAAACUCCUGACCUCAGGCAAUCCACCCGCCUCAGCCUCCCGAAGUGCUGGGAUUAUAGGCGUGAGCCCCCGCGCCCGGCCAGAGUUAUUAAUUUUCUUAAGUGUGAACAUGGUAUUGUGGUUAUGCAGGACAAGGUCCUUAUUAUUUAAAUAAGCAUGUUGAAGCACUUGGGGUAAAAUGUCAUGAUGCCUACAAUGUGCUUUCAAAUGGUUUGACCAAAAAAACCCAAAUUUUCUAUAGACACACAGAAAGAAAACAUAAUGUAGCAAAAUGUUAAUAAUCGUAGAGUCUAGAUUGAGGCUAUGUUAGUAUUUAUGGUACUUUCAACUUUUAAGUUAGAAAAUUUUCCAAUUAAAAACUUAAGAAAAGUCUCCUCCAUCAUCUAAUUUUUAUUCGUCCUUUCACUGCCAAAUCAAUGAAUAACUGAUAUGCACAUCUCUGACUUUAUUAGCACUUAUUUCAAAUCCUUCCAAAGUGGCUUUUAUCCCUCUAUUGAAAUGACACUCAAAAAUCACUGUUUCUAUUUCUACUUCUACUUCAUCUUAUUCAACAGCACUUAAUAAUUUUCAGAACAUUUUCACAUUCCCUACUGCAUUUUAUCUUACAACAAUCUUUUACAAUAAUGUAAAGUAGGUUAGGCAAGUAUUAUCUUCAUUUUUUCACCCUGAAUAUUUUUCCCCCAGGCAUUUGAAUCACUAAAGAAGCAUAUGCUUAGGGCUGGGCGUGGUGACUCACGCCUAUAAUCCCAGCACUUUGGGAGGCUGAGACGGGAGGAUCACCUGAGGUUGGGAGUUCGAUCCCAGCCUGACCAACAUGCAGAAACCCCAUCUCUGCUAAAAAUACAAAAUUAGCCAAGUGUGGUGGUGCAUGCCUAUACUCCCAGCUACUUAGAAGGCUGAGGCAGGAGAAUCGUUUGAACUGGGGAGGCAGAGGCUGCAGUGAGCUGAGAUCGUGCCACUGCACUCCAGCCUGGGUAACAACAGCGAAACUCCACCUCAAAAAAGAAACAACAACAACAACAAAAAACAAGUACAUGCUUAGGCUGGGCACGGUGGCUCAUGCUUGUAAUCCCAGCACUUUGGGAGGCUGAGGCGGGUGGAUCACCUGAGGUCAGGAGUUUGAGACCAGCCUGGCCAACAUGGUGUAACCCUGUUUCUAAUAAUAAUACAAAAAUUAGCCGGGCAUGGUGGCGCAUGCCUGUAAUCCCAGCUACUCAGGAGGCUGAGGCAGGAGAAUCACUUGAACCCGGGAGGUAGAGAUUACAGUGAGCCAAAAUUGCACCAUUGCACUUCAGCCUGGGCAACAGGAGCAAAACUUUAUCUCCAAAAAAAAAAAAAAACUGUUCCCUCCUACUCAGUGCCAGCCCCUUUAGCUCCUCCUCCUUUCCAACAUUUCGAAGUCUUGAUAAAAGCAUCAUUAACAAUUUGGUGUGUAGCCUCUGAAAAUGUUAAAGAAAGACACAAAGAUAUACAGGAUUUUACAUGUUAUGGCUUUUCUUUUAAACAAAAAAUGGGGUAGCCAGGCAUGGUGGCUCAUAGGCAUGAGCCACCCAGCACUUACACCCAUUACACCCAAAGUGUAAUCGCAGCACUUUGGGAGGCCCAGGCAGGCAGAUUACCUGAGGUCAGGAGUUCGAGACCAGCCUGGCCAACAUGGUGAAACCCCAUCUCUACUCAAAAUACAAAAAUUAGCCGGGCUCGGUGGCAGGUGCCUGUAAUCCCAGCUACUCGGGAGGCUGAGGCUGGACAAUUGCUUGAACCUGGGAGGGGAGGCGGAGGUUGCAGUGAGCUCAGAUGGCGCCAUUGCACUCCAGCCUGGGCAAUAAAAGUGAAACUCUGUCUCAAAAAAAAAAAAAAAAGAUACAUAUAGUCAGUAGGGAGAAUAAGGACAUUAUUUGGAUAAGCUGUAAUACCUGAAUACUCACUUUGAAAUAUAAACAUAAAAAAUACUAUUUAAUGUAAAAUGAAAAAUUGCCUCAGGAAAAUUAUAUUUUGAAAUACUAUCAAUCAGUGGAUACAUAAAUAUAUAAUAAUGGAUAUAAGAAUAAAAUGUUGCAAUAAUAAACACAGACUGAGAAAGACUAAUUUUAGUAUAAAGGCUGGGUGUGGCAGCUCACGCCUGUAAUCCCAGCACUUUGGGAGCCCGAGGAGGGCAGAUCACGUG